rnacentral:rRNA from 1 species
GAACGGGUGAGUAACACGUGGGUGAUCUGCCCUGCACUUUGGGAUAAGCCUGGGAAACUGGGUCUAAUACCGAAUAGGACCACGCGCUUCAUGGUGUGUGGUGGAAAGCUUUUGCGGUGUGGGAUGGGCCCGCGGCCUAUCAGCUUGUUGGUGGGGUAAUGGCCUACCAAGGCGACGACGGGUAGCCGGCCUGAGAGGGUGACCGGCCACACUGGGACUGAGAUACGGCCCAGACUCCUACGGGAGGCAGCAGUGGGGAAUAUUGCACAAUGGGCGCAAGCCUGAUACAGCGACGCCGCGUGAGGGAUGACGGCCUUCGGGUUGUAAACCUCUUUCAAUAGGGACGAAGCGCAAGUGACGGUACCUAUAGAAGAAGCACCGGCCAACUACGUGCCAGCAGCCGCGGUAAUACGUAGGGUGCGAGCGUUGUCCGGAAUUACUGGGCGUAAAGAGCUCGUAGGUGGUUUGUCGCGUUGUUCGUGAAAACUCACAGCUUAACUGUGGGCGUGCGGGCGAUACGGGCAGACUAGAGUACUGCAGGGGAGACUGGAAUUCCUGGUGUAGCGGUGGAAUGCGCAGAUAUCAGGAGGAACACCGGUGGCGAAGGCGGGUCUCUGGGCAGUAACUGACGCUGAGGAGCGAAAGCGUGGGGAGCGAACAGGAUUAGAUACCCUGGUAGUCCACGCCGUANACGGUGGGUACUAGGUGUGGGUUCCUUCCUUGGGAUCCGUGCCGUAGCUAACGCAUUAAGUACCCCGCCUGGGGAGUACGGCCGCAAGGCUAANACUCAAAGGAAUUGACGGGGGCCCGCA